rnacentral:ncRNA from 1 species
GGUAGUAGCAAAUAUUCAAGUGAGAACCUUGAAGACUGAAGUGGAGAAAGGUUCCAUGGUAACAGCAGUUGGACAUGGGUUAGUCGAUCCUAAGAGAUAGGGAAGCUCCGUUUCAAAGUGCGUGCUUGUUCACGCCGCCUAUCGAAAGGGAAUCCGGUUAAGAUUCCGGAACCAGGAUGCAGAUUUUUAACGGCAACGUAAAUGAACUUGGAGACACUGGCGAGGGCCCCGGGAAGAGUUAUCUUUUCUCCUUAACCGUCUACCACCCUGAAAUCGGUUUGUCCGGAGCUAGGGUUCAAUGGCGGGUAGAGCUCGACACCUCUGUCGGGUCCGGUGCGUUCUCGACAGUCCUUGAAAAUCCAAGGGAAUGAAUAAUUUUUGCGCCUGGUCGUACUCAUAACCGCAGCAGGUCUCCAAGGUGAACAGCCUCUAGUU